UCUUCUUGUCUCCUCGCCCACUCUCAAAACUCACAUUCUCUUUUAAAUUUAUUUUUGAAUAUUUUCAAAUGUCCAUUUCGAAUGCAUCUUCCCUGAGAGUCCAGAGGGUGUCUAAAUCCGUGUCAACCAGGCUGUUGAUUAAAUUUUCUGAUUUAUCCGAUUGCGGUUUCGAUUAUUCGCAAAGCGGGUUAUGGUCGCCUCCUGUGCAGCGCAAUGUGUUCCUCAAUUCGCCUGGAAUCAUAAUGUCGGAACAUGAAAUGCUGGACAAGUUGCAUGAUAUUAUGGAAGCGCGAAGGAGAAGAAGAUAUAUUGUUUGGUUCAAUGCGUUUUGGUGUUCGCCAAAGAGAAGCUCAUCAAGUGUGGUCCGGGCCAACAAGUGUGAUUGCUGAUGGCAGUCAAGUGGAUAAUGUUAGUCCUCAAUUCACCGGCACUCGGAGGAGCUUAAAAUAAAAUUUAUAUUGUAUGUGAACUGGUGUAUUUGUAGUUUAAGAUCAUCUGAAGCUUACGGGAACGGUUUUAGGAUAAGACGAUCACCAUACAUUCGUAAAAAUAUAUUUAAGUUCUAGCUAAUGUAAAGUUGUAAAUACGACAUUUUUUAAUUUAUAAAUACAUUUAAAAAUGUAUUAUGAUUUAAAAUGCA